AACGAACGCUGGCGGCGUGGAUAAGACAUGCAAGUCGAACGAGAGAAUUGCUAGCUUGCUAAUAAUUCUCUAGUGGCGCACGGGUGAGUAACACGUGAGUAACCUGCCCCCGAGAGCGGGAUAGCCCUGGGAAACUGGGAUUAAUACCGCAUAGUAUCGAAAGAUUAAAGCAGCAAUGCGCUUGGGGAUGGGCUCGCGGCCUAUUAGUUAGUUGGUGAGGUAACGGCUCACCAAGGCGAUGACGGGUAGCCGGUCUGAGAGGAUGUCCGGCCACACUGGAACUGAGACACGGUCCAGACACCUACGGGUGGCAGCAGUCGAGAAUCAUUCACAAUGGGGGAAACCCUGAUGGUGUGACGCCGCGUGGGGGAAUGAAGGUCUUCGGAUUGUAAACCCCUGUCAUGUGGGAGCAAAUUAAAAAGAUAGUACCACAAGAGGAAGAGACGGCUAACUCUGUGCCAGCAGCCGCGGUAAUACAGAGGUCUCAAGCGUUGUUCGGAAUCACUGGGCGUAAAGCGUGCGUAGGCUGUUUCGUAAGUCGUGUGUGAAAGGCGCGGGCUCAACCCGCGGACGGCACAUGAUACUGCGAGACUAGAGUAAUGGAGGGGGAACCGGAAUUCUCGGUGUAGCAGUGAAAUGCGUAGAUAUCGAGAGGAACACUCGUGGCGAAGGCGGGUUCCUGGACAUUAACUGACGCUGAGGCACGAAGGCCAGGGGAGCGAAAGGGAUUAGAUACCCCUGUAAUCCUGGCAGUAAACGGUGCACGCUUGGUGUGCGGGGAAUCGACCCCCUGCGUGCCGGAGCUAACGCGUUAAGCGUGCCGCCUGGGGAGUACGGUCGCAAGAUUAAAACUCAAAGAAAUUGACGGGGACCCGCACAAGCGGUGGAGUAUGUGGCUUAAUUCGAUGCAACGCGAAGAACCUUACCUGGGCUUGACAUGUAAUGAACAACAUGUGAAAGCAUGCGACUCUUCGGAGGCGUUACACAGGUGCUGCAUGGCCGUCGUCAGCUCGUGUCGUGAGAUGUUUGGUUAAGUCCAGCAACGAGCGCAACCCCUGUUGCCAGUUACCAGCACGUGAAGGUGGGGACUCUGGCGAGACUGCCCAGAUCAACUGGGAGGAAGGUGGGGACGACGUCAGGUCAGUAUGGCCCUUAUGCCCAGGGCUGCACACGUACUACAAUGCCCAGUACAGAGGGGGCCGAAGCCGCGAGGCGGAGGAAAUCCUGAAAACUGGGCCCAGUUCGGACUGUAGGCUGCAACCCGCCUACACGAAGCCGGAAUCGCUAGUAAUGGCGCAUCAGCUACGGCGCCGUGAAUACGUUCCCGGGUCU
rnacentral:rRNA from 1 species